rnacentral:rRNA from 1 species
CCUAACACAUGCAAGUCGAACGGUAACAGGAAGCAGCUUGCUGCUUCGCUGACGAGUGGCGGACGGGUGAGUAAUGUCUGGGAAGCUGCCUGAUGGAGGGGGAUAACUACUGGAAACGGUAGCUAAUACCGCAUAAUGUCGCAAGACCAAAGAGGGGGACCUUCGGGCCUCUUGCCAUCGGAUGUGCCCAGAUGGGAUUAGCUUGUUGGUGGGGUAACGGCUCACCAAGGCGACGAUCCCUAGCUGGUCUGAGAGGAUGACCAGCCACACUGGAACUGAGACACGGUCCAGACUCCUACGGGAGGCAGCAGUGGGGAAUAUUGCACAAUGGGCGCAAGCCUGAUGCAGCCAUGCCGCGUGUAUGAAGAAGGCCUUCGGGUUGU